CUCUUAUCAAGAGAGGUGGAGGGAAAAGGGCCCUAUGAAACCCGGCAACCGGCAACAGAAUUGCUAAGGUGCCAAUUCCUGCAGUGAUAAUCUGCAAGAUAAGAG
rnacentral:ncRNA from 2 species